UACGUAGGGACCGAGCGUUGUCCGGAAUCAUUGGGCGUAAAGCGCGCGUAGGCGGCCGUCCACGUCGGGUGUGAAAGCUCGGGGCUCAACCCUGAGAGGCCACUCGAUACGGGACGGCUAGAGGCAGCUAGGGGAGAGUGGAAUACCUGGUGUAGCGGUGAAAUGCGUAGAUAUCGAGAGGAACACCUGCGGCGAAGGCGGGCUGCUGGGCUGAUACUGACGCUGAGGCGCGAAAGCCAGGGGAGCGAACGGGAUUAGAUACCCCU
rnacentral:rRNA from 1 species